rnacentral:rRNA from 1 species
UGAAUACGAGAUGCUACGGCGUCGAAGCAGUCUAUGUCAUACUUCCAAGAAAAGCUCGCACUGUCAUAAACAAAUAAUGCCUGUACCAUAACCGACACAGGUGGGUAGGUAGAGUAUACUAAGGGGCGCGAGAUAACUCUCUCUAAGGAACUCGGCAAAAUGACUCCGUAACUUCGGGAGAAGGAGUGCCUUAUUUAUAAGGUUGCAAUAACAAGAUCCAAGCAACUGUUUAUCAAAAACACAGGUCUCCGCUAAGUCGUAAGACGAUGUAUGGGGGCUGUCGCCUGCCCAGUGCCAGAAGGUUAAAGAAGUUGGUUAGCAUUCGCGAAGCUGAUAACUGAAGCCCUGGUGAACGGCGGCCGUAACAAUAACGGUCCUAAGGUAGCGAAAUUCCUUGUCGGGUAAGUUCCGACCCGCACGAAAGGCGUAAUGAUUUGGAUACUGUCUCGGAGAGGGGCUCGGUGAAAUAGACUUGUCUGUGAGGAUGCGGACUACCUGCACCAGGACAGAAAGACCCUAUGAAGCUUUACUGUAACUUGAGAUUGAAAUUGGACUUUACUUGCGCAGUAUAGGUGGGAGGCGUUGAUAAUAUUCUUGCGGGAUUAUUUGAGCCAUCAGUGAGAUACCACUCUUGUAAUGUUAGAUUUCUAACUUUGUAUCAUUAUCUGGUCAAAGGACAGUUUCAGGCGGGCAGUUUGACUGGGGCGGUCGCCUCCUAAACGGUAACGGAGGCGCACAAAGGUUUCCUCUGAACGGGUAGAAAUCGUAUCUAGAGUGUAAAGGCAUAAGGAAGCUUGACUGUGAGACCUACAAGUCGAGCAGGGACGAAAGUCGGUCUUAGUGAUCUGACGGUGCUGAGUGGAAAGGCCGUCACUCAACGGAUAAAAGUUACUCUAAGGAUAACAGGCUGAUCUCCCCCAAGAGUUCACAUCGACGGGGAGGUUUGGCACCUCGAUGUCGGCUCAUCGCAUCCUGGGGCGGUAGUACGUCCCAAGGGUUGGGCUGUUCGCCCAUGAAAGCGGUACGCGAGCUGGGUUCAGAACGUCGUGAGACAGUUCGGUCCAUAUCCGGUGUAGGCGUUAGAAUAUUGAGAGGAGCCUUCUUUAGUACGAGAGGACCGAGAAGGACAUACCUCUGGUGUACCAGUUAUCGUGCCAACGGUAAACGCUGGGUAGCUAUGUAUGGAGUGGAUAACCGCUGAAAGCAUCUAAGUGGGAAGCCCACCUCAAGAUAAG